CUCAAUUGUUCACAGGGAGAAGCUCAAAGAAGUCCGUGGCCUUACCACACUGACAAGCCUGCGUGAAAAUACGUAAAUUUUCUUCAAUACUCAGGUCACUAGAGAUGGUAUCUGCCGCCUUCUGCAGUUCUUCAAACACAUCUCUAACACAGGGAACGUUAAGGCAACAACUUCUGACAGGUUAAUCACCAGUGUCACUCUGGCAUGAUCUGCAUUGUGAAAUGAUGGUAUGACCAGAAAUAACAAUUAGCAUUCACCUUCAAAGACUUGGAAGCCUGGGCACCCCAUUAAACUACUCUGGUGUGGGAAUUUCUGUUCCCAAGAAGGCACCAAAAGUCUCAGAGUGCAACUGGGAUGACAGCAGUGACUUGAACAUUAGCAACCCCUUCAACCCCAAACCUUCCUUACUGGUCCUGCAGUGAUUCCAACAUGAUCAGGAGCACUUGUAUAUCUUCUUUUCAGCCAGUUUAAUCUCUAGUGACUCAAUUAAGACUGUGCCACAUGCAGGAAACCCUCCAGGUGCAGGUGACUGGGGCUAUCGAUUACAGCAAACUGCAGCAGUGAAGCGGGACUUGAGAACUGGGAAGUAUUACACACACCACAGGCAACGGGAUAGAGAUCACUACUGUAGUAAUAAAGAGACCUACAUAUCAUUUCAGAAGCUCAUCUCAAGAGAGCACACAAAAGCACUUCCUUUGAGGCACUACCUAAAUGCAGCAAUGAUUUCUGACUGUGCAGCCACAGCUGGUGUUCUUCAUACCAGCUAUAUUCAAGUUUCAGAGCACACAAAUGCUUGUUUCUGGCUGUAUUUGGUAGGUGUUAAAGUUGUUCCCAUUUAAAUCAGGCAUCUAAGUAAAAAAUAAUUACUUCAUUGAAGUAAUUCAUAGCUUUAUUGGCUUUGCAUGGUGAGGUUUUACUGGUGGGGUGGGGGCAGGGGCUACAGGGGUGGCUUCUGUGAGAAGAUGUUGAAAGCUUCCACCAUGUCCAAUAAAGCCAAUGUCAGCCAGCUCCAAGAGGGACCCACUGCUGGCCAAGACCAAGCCCACCAGCAACUAGGAUGGCACCUCUGGGAUAAUGUACUUAAGAAGGGGAAAAAAAACAACAAAAAAACCCAAAACAAACCCCAGCAACUACAACCAGAGAGAGAAGCAAGAAUGUGAGAGAGAAACAGCUCUGCAGACCCCAAGGUCAGUGCAGGUGAAGAGAAGGUGCUCCAGGUGCCGGAGCAGAGAUUCCCCUGCAGCCUGUGGUACGGAUCCUGGUGAGGCAGCUGUGCCCCUGCAGCCCAUGGAGGCCUAAGGAGGAGCAGAGAUCCACAUGUAGACACUGCCCAGAGCAGCAGGAUGCUCAAAGGAGUCUGUAACAACAUGGGAAGUCCAUGACAGGGCAGACUCCUGGCAGGGACCUGCAGAGCCAUGGAGAAAAGAGUCUGCUCUGGAGCAGGUUUGCCCGCAGGAGAUCCCCACUGGAGCAGCCUGUUCCUGAAGGACUGCGACCCAUGGAAGCAACUAAUGCUGGAGCAGUUAAUGAAGAACUGCAACCCUUGGGAAAGGCUCAUGUUGGAAAAGUUCAUGGAGGACUGUCUCCUGUGGGAGGGACCCCCCACUGGAACAGGAGAAGAGUGCGAGGAGUCAUUCCCUGGGGAGGAAGGAGCAGCAGGAACGUGUGAUUAACUGAACACAGCCCCCAACCCCUGUCCCCCAGGCCACGAGGGGGGAAGAUAAUUUGGGAGAGAGGUUGAGUUUGAGAAGAAGGGAGGGGUCAGGGAAAGGUGUUUUUAAGACUUGGUUUUAUUUCUCACUAUCCUACUCUGAUUGAUAACAAGCUGAGUUUCCCCCUACCCCAGUCUGUUCUGUGCAUGACUGUAAGUGAUGAGUGAUCUCUCUCUGCCCUUGUCCCAACACACCUUUUGUUAUAUUUUCUCUCCCCUGCCCACCUGGAGAGAGGAGUGACAGAGUGCCUUUGGUGGGCACCUGGCAUCCAGCCAGGGUCAACCCACCACAACAGCCUGCAGUGAAAAAUUAGUAUACAGCCUUUUCAAAGUACCUAAAUUGCUCAAUAAAUCAGUUUUUAUUAACUUGGAAAGCAGGAGAAGUUGAAGACUCUAUUAACAGCAAUGAGGUUUGGGAUUUUUUUUAGAUUUUUUUUUCUUUUUAAAAAUUAUGAAGUGGUACUCAGAUAAAAAUCUAUAUUUUCAAAAAUAUUAUAAUCCAAGUGUAAAGUUACAUAUUGUCCCAGUACCAGAAAGAGCUAGAGAAACUAAUCUACCUCAUAAAACAUCAUAAGGGUCUUUUCGGAACAGCACUUUGUUUAAAAAGAAAAUGCAUUUCCAAGCUUUUUACGUGCUGAUCUACUUGUGAUAUUGGACUCUUGUACUGAUGUACUUUGAUUAGUAUUUCAGAGUGCUUGAACACCAAAACUGCAACAAUACACUAAACUGAGAAGCUCAAUCUUACCAGUGUUAUCAACUGUAUGCUGGUAAAAACACUGUCUUUUAGGGAAUUAAUAGUUAUUAUGAACAGGUUGGCAGAGUACACAGUCUUUGUCUCUGUAGUAGAAGUUAAAAAAAAAAAAUGAAGAAACAAAUCCACUUCCCAAAGUGCUCAACCAUUUAAAGGCUCCUGUUUUGUUCUGUACCGCAGCCAAAACAUCCCAAGAUAAAAAGGGAAUUUCUUUUGAGAGCAGCAGUGAGGCUGUUCAGUACCUGCAGCAGGAACUCUGUUUUCCCAGCUAGCCUUAAGAUACAUGUUUGAAUAGGAAUGAAAUGCAUCCUUAUGCUCAGAGGUGUUUCUGCCUGCUCUUGCCAGGCAGGUAGUAUGCAGGAGAUGGCAUUAUGUGUACGUGGGAGGAAUGUUUCCAGAUGAUCUGCUGUUUGGCACAUCCUUCAUUUGCUCUGUGCUUCCCACAAUGCCCAAACGCAACUUGAUUAGGUACAUUGAUAUGAAAAAAUCAUCAGAGCACAUAUAAAAUACCUUAGAACAUGAUGAUAGUUUCAAAUUAUAUUUGUGUGAACACAAACAGGCUUAUUACUGCUGGGUCCCACGAGGAUCAGUUCUCACCCUCUCCCAGUUGGCAAUGCAACGGGGAAAGAACAAAAACUGGUUAUUGAAGAUCUGCAGCCAACACCACCAUGGUAUGAGUAACACACCAGGAGUACACAGCAGCUCCUUAGCCCAUUGGUACAUGCAGUGAAUGUAUAAAAUGCCAUGACCAGGUUUUGAGUAACUGAAUUCAAACCAAAAAUGUAGGUCAAACUUUGGAUGGCAGAUAUCUGUGCUAGGAAGCACGUGGAGGUAUCUGAACACAGUUUCAGUACUGGCUGAUGUGCCCAAGGCAAACCUCACAUGGAUAAAUGGGAAUAUUAAGUAGGAGUAGAAAGAUUGUAUUACCUCUCCUUUUGGCAGUGGUGCAACCGCUACUAGGAUACUGUGUCCUUGGUACUAGGACAAGAUUACACGAUGAUCCCCUCUGGCAUUAUUAUAAUAUAUGAAUUUAUAAUCUAUGAAUUGGAAUACCAGCCACAACCCAGCAGUUUGGGAAGUCUGCAUCUGAAAACAAAUCCUAUGACUCCUGUCUAUCUCCCUUCAUUAUAAGUGCCCUGUAUAUAAGUGUCCUAUAUAUAUAAGCUCUACUAAUUCCAUCCAUCAAUGGAGCAAAACAUUUUCUGAAAUUCAUCUGUAUCUGGAGGCCAAACAUCUCUCUCAUCAUACUAACAAAGAGGCUAUAAAUUACUUCUGCUUUCUUACCUGAACUAUUUUUCUUUCACUUUUAGCAUUUUUAUAUGUGAAUAAACAAGUAGGAGCAUUGUUACAUAAAUAAUUUCUUUUCUUAACAAUUUUAUCAAAAUUGGCUUUCUAACUUACCACAAAAACUACCUGAAACUAACUUGAGUAAAUGUAACUAAUUAGUGCUACCAGCACAACAGGCUCUGACAUGAACUUUAUAAUAAUAGAGAUCCAUUGACUUUUAUGAUAUUUCUUGCUAUUUAUACCACUGAAAAUCAGGUUUGAACAUCAUUGGUAUUAAAAAAAAAAAUCCAAACAAAUACAAUGCAUUAAGUGCUUUGAACACUCAGACCCACCAAUGCAAUGUCACUGAAUCACCUGUGUGUGAAAGCUUUAGUCAGAGACUGGAAGUGCUGCACAUUCCAGUGGGGAGGUUGCUGCCACAAGUGCUUUUUAUAGUUUCCCCUAUUGGAAGUUUUUCUUGCUAAUUUUUUUUUCCAGUUUAACGAUCACCAAAUAACACCCAACUCACCCCAACUCAAGUUUCAAGAAGUGGACCAUUUUUUUUUUUUUUUUUUUUUUUUUUAAAUCAAGCCAUUAGGAAUAGAAGGGUUGGGAAUAGUCACAGGUAUCCUCAGACCAGAAGAACUGAGGGAGAGGUGAUGCUUAAAGCUGUGGUGGUGUCAGAGAACUGGAGUGAGCUGCAGGUUCCUCUCCCAACACCAACCACCAUCAGCCAAAUCUAGUUUAUCUGGCUCUUACUCCCAAUAAUGGUUUCAAGUACAAACAAUGCUGCACAGAACUGCUGUGUCUGGUUCCUGCCUCUGUUCAAGUGUGCCCCUUCUCGCUGUCUCAAACAAUGAACAAAAUCCACAGGCUCCCACCUUCCCAAUUAAAAUAGAGAUCUCUUCAAAAACUCCCAAAUUCCCAUAGAAGGAGAUUUGCUAAAGCCUAAUGAGGUAAUUAGCAUGAUUAUAAACACAAAUACUCCUACAAAGAACUGAGCAAGAUUUUUGAACUUUAAAGAAACAUGUAAAAUUAUUUCCUAGCAC